AAAAAAAAAAUAGGUGUGUUUCCGGUCGCCCGACCGACCCUAAUUUUUUGGCGCCGACCCUAACUUUUUUUUCCCGGAAAAAAAAAAAAAAAAAAAUCCGGAUUUUUUCGUUUUUUUCCGGAAACGGUUUUUGUUUAGUAUAGCCUUUUGAAUGGCAUCUUUUAAACGUUUGAUUUCAAAUAAAAUUUUAAUACAGUAAGCAUUUGUGUGAUACAGAUUGAAGUCAAACAACGGCAUGGCUUCUGCU
rnacentral:lncRNA from 1 species